rnacentral:rRNA from 1 species
CUCAUUAAAUCAGUUAUAGUUUAUUUGAUGGUCUCUUUUGUCUUUUUUUACCUACUUGGAUAACCGUGGUAAUUCUAGAGCUAAUACAUGCGCAAGGUCCCAAGCGCGGGGCGGCUCCUCGCGGGCCGCUCGCAUGUGCAGCGGGAUGUAUUUAUUAGGUUAAAAACCAGCACUCAAAAACCUCACUGGUGAUUCAUAGUAACUCUGUUCGGAUCGCAUUCAUG